AGCGAACGCUGGCGGCAGGCUUAACACAUGCAAGUCGAGCGGGCACUUUCGGGUGUCAGCGGCGGACGGGUGAGUAACGCGUGGGAACGUGCCCUCUGGUUCGGAAUAACUCAGGGAAACUUGAGCUAAUACCGGAUACGCCCUUUUGGGGAAAGGCUUGCUGCCGGAGGAUCGGCCCGCGUCUGAUUAGCUAGUUGGUGAGGUAACGGCUCACCAAGGCGACGAUCAGUAGCUGGUCUGAGAGGAUGAUCAGCCACACUGGGACUGAGACACGGCCCAGACUCCUACGGGAGGCAGCAGUGGGGAAUAUUGGACAAUGGGCGCAAGCCUGAUCCAGCCAUGCCGCGUGAGUGAUGAAGGCCUUAGGGUUGUAAAGCUCUUUUAUCCGGGACGAUAAUGACAGUACCGGAGGAAUAAGCCCCGGCUAACUUCGUG
rnacentral:rRNA from 1 species